AGAAAAAAAAUGGAAGUAUUACAAAAAAAAAAAGAAAGUAUUGGAUUUGGAAUGCACUACUGUUCCCUAGUCCAAAUAUGGUUUUUUUUUUCUUUUCUUUUUUUUUUUUGAAAUCUUUUUAUAUUUUUUAUUUUUUAUUUUUUCGGUCUGGUCUAUGGAGGAAAAAGAGGAAGAAGAGUAGUGUAUUUAUCCUUGUUUGUUGUUUCUUGUUUAUUGUGACAAAAGAAAUCAACGUGAUUGAUAGUUGAAGAUUAAUAAUCUAUAUAUAUAUAUAUGUAUAUAUA
rnacentral:ribozyme from 1 species